ACCUGACCAGUUGCCAGUCCACAGAUGGAGAGUCCCAGUGAAAAUCAACAUCCUCUCGUUUUAUAGAUGAGAAACCUUGAGCCCGAAGGACUGUCUCCAAGAAAACAUAAUGCUCUUGGGGCUUCUCUUCUAUGCAGCUGUUGUUGCUGUAUGUGUGUAUUUUCUUGCUGCCAGACAUCAAGCUCUCUUCAGACCUUUUGGAAAGGAAGCCGAAAUCCCGGCAGGCCUGCAACCAUGGAAACACAAAUCCUACGGUCCACAUGAACUCCAGCGACAGCUGCCCCGGACAUCUAGAGAGCAGCCCCCCGAUGCGUGGUGAAGUUGUAGAUUGCUUCUGAGUGCUUUCUCCUCGGUGUUGCAGGUGUUCAGGAGCCUGGUCUCAGGAGCCAGCCACUCCUGAUUCAAAUCACAUGGGAAAAGACAAAUGACCACUCUAUGCUCCAGGUC